AGGUGCUGCAUGGCUGUCGUCAGCUCGUGUCGUGAGAUGUUGGGUUAAGUCCCGCAACGAGCGCAACCCUUGUCACUAAUUGCCAUCAUUUGGUUGGGCACUUUAGUGAGACUGCCGGUGACAAACCGGAGGAAGGUGGGGAUGACGUCAAGUCCUCAUGGCCCUUAUGGGUAGGGCUUCACACGUCAUACAAUGGUCGGUACAGAGGGUUGCCAAGCCGCGAGGUGGAGCCAAUCCCAGAAAGCCGAUCGUAGUCCGGAUCGGAGUCUGCAACUCGACUCCGUGAAGUCGGAAUCGCUAGUAAUCGCGGAUCAGCAUGUCGCGGUGAAUACGUUCCCGGGUCUUGUACACACCGCCCGUCACACCAUGGGAGCGGGUUCUACCAGAAGCAGUUAGCCUAACCGCAAGGGGGGCGAUUGCCACGGUAGGAUUCGUGACUGGGGUGAAGUCGUAACAAGGUAGCCGUAUCGGAAGGUGCGGCUGGAUCACCUCCUUUCUAG
rnacentral:rRNA from 1 species